rnacentral:rRNA from 1 species
CCUACGUGGUGCUGCAGUGGGGAAUAUUGGACAAUGGGCGAAAGCCUGAUCCAGCCAUGCCGCGUGUGUGAAGAAGGCCUUCGGGUUGUAAAGCACUUUCAGUGGGGAAGAAAGCCUUGGGGCUAAUACCCUCGAGGAAGGACAUCACCCACAGAAGAAGCACCGGCUAACUCCGUGCCAGCAGCCGCGGUAAUACGGAGGGUGCGAGCGUUAAUCGGAAUUACUGGGCGUAAAGCGCGCGUAGGCGGUCUGAUAAGCCGGUUGUGAAAGCCCCGGGCUCAACCUGGCAACGGCAUCCGGAACUGUCAGGCUAGAGUGCAGGAGAGGAAGGUAGAAUUCCCGGUGUAGCGGUGAAAUGCGUAGAGAUCGGGAGGAAUACCAGUGGCGAAGGCGGCCUUCUGGACUGACACUGACGCUGAGGUGCGAAAGCGUGGGUAGCAAACAGGAUUAGAUACCCCUGUAUC